AUGGUCGGAAACGUCUCAAGUGGUUUAGUAGUGGCAAUCUCAACAAUUUUUUCUUAUGGAGUGUUUCUUGAUGUCACCAUAGUUAGAGUUGUGAAAAGGUGCACUGGGCUUUCUUAUACCGCUUUUACUUUAUAUACUGAGCCGUUGAAACCACUUGUGAGUGACAUGCUGAGCUAUGUGGAUAUCUGUUUGAUUGACUUGGAAAGUAGGUGA